rnacentral:lncRNA from 1 species
AAAAACCCAAAAGUUUAAGCUGAUAGACGACAAAAUUCUUUUAUAUUAUAUACUGGUUAACUUUGUUUAAUAAUCGAAUGGGUGACAUUUUUAUGUUUGGUCUAAGAGGUCAUAAAUUUUGAGGUGCAAAUAAAAUGAAUUACAAAUUAUACCGGCUUGUUAGUUGACUGAAUUAAUAUUGUCCAAUAAUGAGCCAUUUGGAUCAUAUAGGUAAAAAGUGAAUUUUUUUUUUGGUUAAGAGAUAUUAUGAAGCCAUUUGGAU